UAUGAACUAACCAGUACCCCGGAG
rnacentral:piRNA from 1 species